GGGUCAGUAGGUUGGUCGUGCCACCGGUACGUACUGGUCUCACUGAUUCAUCUUUCCUGAAGAACCGUAAUGCCAUUAAUUUGGUGUUGCGGGGAAACAGGACUGUUACUUUGAAAAAAUUAGAGUGUUUAAAGCAAGCUAACGCUUGAAUACAUUAGCAUGGAAUAAUGAAAUAGGACGAUCGAUCCUAUUUUGUUGGUUUCUAGGAUUGACGUA
rnacentral:rRNA from 1 species